GAAAUGCGAUAAGUAAUGUGAAUUGCAGAAUUCAGUGAAUCAUCGAAUCUUUGAACGCACCUUGCGCUCCUUGGUAUUCCUUGGAGCAUGCCUGUUUGAGAAUCAUGAAAUCUUCAAAGUAAAUCUUUUGUUAACUCAAUUGGUUUCUACUUUGGUAUUGGAGGUCUUUGCAGCUUCACACCUGCUCCUCUUUGUUCAUUAGCUGGAUCUCAGUGUUAUGCUUGGUUCCACUCGGCGUGAUAAGUUAUCUAUCGCUGAGGACACUGUAAAAGGUGGCCAAGGUAAAUGCAGAUGAACCGCUUCUAAUAGUCCAUUGACUUGGACAAUACUUUUAUGAUCUGAUCUCAAAUCAGGUAGGACUACCCGCUGAACUUAAGC
rnacentral:misc_RNA from 1 species